CCUGCCGGUCCAGUUGUCCCUGAUCCGAACCGCUCUGUGGAUGCAUCUCUCAACGUGUCCCGGGUGGGUGGAAGCGCAGGCAGCACCAUCCAGCUGUAGUGCUGUACGUGAUGAAGAGUGGUCAUUGUAAACCAUGUACCUCCACUCGUGGCGGCAAUCAGGAGUUUUCCUCAAGGAGCGAAUUCUGCAAUCUGUACUCGUGGGAGUAUGGUGUUCGUAUCAGGAAAGUGUCACCAAAACGUCCCAGAGAUUGUUUGCAGUUGUGCAGGCAAGCCGGACAGGGAGAACAGUUCAUCCGCUAGAACAAAGUGCCCUGCGAUGCUAAGCCUGUUAAGGACGGAAGAUGGAGGCUGGUAUGGUAUUUAUGUGCGCACAGGGUGUUGCAUAACCAUGAAUGCCUCGGAACUUGUAGUGCACGUGGGCUUCCUAAUCUUGAAGUCUGAAGUGCCUUCACGACCGGAGCAAGCGCCACCCGGACCAGACUGGCAUUGCACUUGAGAUGGUGUUGUGAUGACCUCCUGAAGUAUGGUGAGUAUUGAAUAUCCCUUCUCCAUCUUUUUUUUUGUAGAAUAGAAGAUAUGCAUAUUGAAUCCCCCCCCUUUUUUUUUGUAAACACACAAAAGCUUUGCGCGUCAUACAUCAGAAGAUUAAACACAGUUAGAUAGAACAAGUUCCACUAGAAAAACUAGUCAAGAACAACAUCGGACGGGUCCGAUACAUCCCAACUCAAAUGCAAUACAACACCAAUUUAAAAUCUGAUGAGAUAUAAUGUCUUAUUCAAACUCAACCCAGAUGCGACUUGUAUCCGCCUUCCAUUUACACAACUCUUUAAAUAGCGGGCUAUGGCAUUUAGCGGCGACCCUUAAAAACAGCUAUAGCGGAGCUAUAGUGGCAAAUUGUACAUGAAAUCAU